UACGUAGGCAGCAAGCGUUGUUCGGAGUUACUGGGCGUAAAGGGUGCGUAGGCGGUCCUAUAAGUAUGGUGUGAAAUCCCACGGCUCAACCGUGGAACUGCUCGGUAUACUGCGUCGCUUGAGCCAACUAGGGGCAACCGGAACAAACGGUGGAGCGGUGAAAUGCGUAGAUAUCGUUUGGAACGCCGAUGGUGAAAACAGGUUGCUGGGGUUGUGCUGACGCUGAGACACGAAAGCCAGGGGAGCGAACGGG
rnacentral:rRNA from 1 species